UACGGGGGGGGCAAGCGUUGUUCGGAAUUACUGGGCGUAAAGGGCUCGUAGGUGGCCAACUAAGUCAGACGUGAAAUCCCCAGGCUUAACCUGGGAACUGCGUCUGAUACUGGAUGGCUUGAAUUCGGGAGAGGGAUGCAGAAUUCCAGGUGUAGCGGUGAAAUGCGUAGAUAUCAGGAGGAACACCGGUGGCGAAGGCGGCCCUCUGGACGGAUACUGACGCUGAGACGCGAAAGCGUGGGGAGCAAACAGG
rnacentral:rRNA from 1 species